CCCCUAGACGUUCUGGGCUGCACGCGCGCUACAAUAAUACGCACAGCGAGUAUCACCGAGCUCGAAAGGGCAAGGUAAACAAUAGAAAAGGUACUGUAAUGGUUAUAGAUCCUUGUAAUUAUUGAUCUUCAACGAGGAAUUCCUAGUAAGUAUGUGUCAUCAUCACGCACUGAUUACGUCCCUGCCCUUUGUACACACCGCCCGUCGCUCCUACCGAUUGGGUGAGCCGAUGAAACUCUCGGAUGUAGGCUAUUCAUAGCCCGCAGAAGAGAUUUGAAUCGUAGCGCCUAGAGGAAGGAGAAGUCGUAACA
rnacentral:rRNA from 1 species